rnacentral:lncRNA from 1 species
AAAUUGAUAUAGGAAGCAUUGCACACAAUCUACACAUGCCUACUGUUGGAAGUAGAUCAAAUGACUUCACAAAGCAUGAGACAUGUUUAAAAGUUAUUCUAGAGCAUAAGGAUGUUGAAGAAAUCAAGAAAGUUAGUGCAAAACAACCAAGUGUAGAAAUGAGAUUACUUCAUCAUUUGAUCAGCUGGAUCUUCUUCCCCA